rnacentral:ncRNA from 1 species
UUAACCCGUGUGGGGUAGCCGUAGCGAAAGCGAGUCCGAAUAGGGCGUCCGUAGUGGCAUGUUCUAGACCCGAAGCGGAGUGAUCUACCCAUGGCCAGGUUGAAGCGACGGUAAGACGUCGUGGAGGACCGAACCCACUUAGGUUGAAAACUGAGGGGAUGAGCUGUGGGUAGGGGUGAAAGGCCAAUCAAACUCCGUGAUAGCUGGUUCUCCCCGAAAUGCAUUUAGGUGCAGCGUCGCGUGUUUCUCACCGGAGGUAGAGCUACUGGAUGGUCUAGGGGGCCCACAAGCUUACCGAAAUCAGCCAAACUCCGAAUGCCGGUGAGUGAGAGCGCGGCAGUGAGACUGCGGGCGAUAAGGUUCGUAGUCGAGAGGGAAACAGCCCAGAUCGCCAGCUAAGGUCCCUAAGCGUGUACUAAGUGGAAAAGGAUGUGGGGUCGCGAAGACAACCAGGAGGUUGGCUUAGAAGCAGCCACCCUUGAAAGAGUGCGUAAUAGCUCACUGGUCAAGUGAUCCUGCGCCGACAAUGUAGCGGGGCUCAAGUACACCACCGAAGCUGCGGCAUUCACACAAUGCACCCCCUUGAUUCUGCGGAGUCUUGGGCAGUGGUGUGGAUGGGUAGGGGAGCGUCGUGUGGCCAUGGAAGCGGCAGGGUGACCUAGCCGUGGAGGCCACACGAGUGAGAAUGCAGGCAUGAGUAGCGAAAGACGAGUGAGAAACUCGUCCGCCGAAUGACCAAGGGUUCCUGGGCCAGGUUAAUCCGCCCAGGGUGAGUCGGGACCUAAGACGAGGCCGACAGGCGUAGCCGAUGGACAACGGGUUGAUAUUCCCGUACCCGUGUGAACGCGCCCCUGGUGAAUCAGUGAUACUAACCAUCCUGAAGCGUCCUUACGCCCCUUCGGGGGCCCUGGAUGUGGAUGCAUGGGACCUGAUCUGGUAGUAGCCAA